CGUUUUAGUGGCGGACGGGUGAGUAACGCGUGGGUAACCUGCCUCACACUGGGGGAUAACACUUAGAAAUAGGUGCUAAUACCGCAUAAGCGCACGGGACUGCAUGGUCUUGUGUGAAAAACCCCGGUGGUGUGAGAUGGACCCGCGUCUGAUUAGCUGGUUGGCGGGGUAACGGCCCACCAAGGCGACGAUCAGUAGCCGGCCUGAGAGGGUGGACGGCCACAUUGGGACUGAGACACGGCCCAAACUCCUACGGGAGGCAGCAG
rnacentral:rRNA from 1 species